UGGAAACAGGGGAAGCAGUUUUCGGGGCCACGGAUUAAAUGAAUGACCUUGGAGAAGUCCUAGUCCUUCCCUCUUUGGAGCCAGUGUAUUUUCUCCUGCACUGCAUUGCUGCAGAAACUCUCCCGGCCCUUUUUGUCGCACCAUUUGCAAUCGAAGGAAGCAGGAAUUCUAUUUGAAAGGCAUUACUGAGCAAAGUAAAGCAAAAGAUCUGAAGAAACAUUCUCCACCCACCUAGGAUAGCCAGAGAGAGUCUCCUAGGAAUUGAAACCUCCCAAUAUUUGAGGAUGGAGGAAGCAGUGAGAAUCUUUCCUAUUUGGUAAAGAAAGAUAACUUUCCAGGAGCAGAAUUCCACCUGUUAUUCACACAGCUCUAUAAUACAAGCGGAACAGAGAUGAGUCCUGUCCUACAGAUGAAGAAACUGGACCCCAGGGAAAUAAAAGAAAAACGUGGCUGGUCCGAAUCAAGACGUGCUGAAAGCAUAAAAUACACGCGGACUUUUAAAGACUUAGAGA